CCGUUAACACCACCUCUUUCGCAUCCCCCGAUCCACACCGCCCGGCCAAGGGCCACGGCUCCAUUCCCCAACCACCACGCCGCCGAACCCAUAUACCCCCAUCUCCCACACCACACCCCCAUCUGAAUCCACGCUGCCCGGCCUGCCACAUCACACCCCGUUGAUGUCGCACUCGCGCGCUGGCUGCAAGGCGCCGUCGAUGUAAUUCCCCUAAACUGAGACAGAGAGAGGGAGGACGGGGUCAUGGGGCUCCUCCACGCGCCUGGAUCCAGGCGCCACUCAACGCAUCUUGCUCGAUCUGGCCGCCGCCACGCGCGUCCGUGCUGGAUCUGGCCUUCACAGUCGAAGCUGGGUGGAUGAGCAUGGGGCGGUGGCUUGGUUGUGGAGGUGGGGAAGCGAGCACGGGGCGGUGGCUUGGUUGUGGAGGAGGUGAAGCGAACACGUGUUGUUCUGGCUAGGAGGUAAGUUGCUCAUCCUCGAUCUAGAGAAGGGGAAGGCAGAGGUGAGCAGGAUCCCCUCAAUCUUCGAUCUGGAGUAGUUAAUUUUGUAUGGCUGGCUUCUGAAACCGAUAUUGCAUUAUGUGCGUCGAAAAACAUACAAUUUUAUAUUCUUAUUUGCAAAUUCGGAAUUGCAUCGUCUGUUCGAACAGUGUGCUUAUGAUAUUUCCGUACGUAUGAUUCAAAAUGUAACAUGCAGUCUAAUUUGCAUAGCCAGUUCAUUUUCUUGGUGCUUAUAGAUCUGUUCCAGUUAAUAAUUCAUUCUAGAUGAUCUUUUUUUCUAGGACUAAUUUUAAUCACUGUUCAAGAAGGCGCUAUUAGGCGCUCGCCUAGGCGCGCUUAAGCGCUGGGCGUUGGCAUAGCGCCUCGCUUUGGCCCUAGGCGCUCAAAAAAGCGGCCGGCGAGGUCCUCCGGCGAGAAAUCAGCCUCUCCGGCGAGGAAUCAGCUUUCUGAGGUGAGAAAUCAGUCUCCCCGGCGAGGAUUCGACCUCCCCUGCGAGGAUUCAUCCUCUCCGACGAGGGAUUCAACUGCCCCGACCACAAAUCGAGAUUCUCCGGCGAGGGAUUGAGCUUCUCCGGCGAGGGAUCGAGCUUCUCCGACAAGGGACAGAGGAAGAGGGAGGGAGGCAGCCUCGUGCAACGAGACAGAAAGGACGAGGGGGGAGGCGGCGUGAGGAGGAAACCUAAAUUUCCUAUCGACUGCAGCAGACGAGAGCUUUUAGUAGGAGGAUAUGAAGAUGGGCCUAUGGUUUAGUGGGCUAGCCCAGCCCAUCUAGCUUAUUUAUUCACGUUACAGUACUAACGCCUAAUUGCGUCUAAUUUCGCCUAAUCACGCCUAAGCUAGAAAAGCGCAAGUAGGUGCCCAAACGCAUAAUUAGCGCCUAGCGCUUUUUUGAACUUUGAUUUUAAUUUAAUAGAUAGAUUGAUGUUUGUAGACAAGGUCUUCAGGAAUAACAUUUUAGUGUUGAUGUUCAGGUCUAGGUUCACAAGUUGAGAUAAGCUGCAUCCAUAAAUAAUCGAAGAAGUACAACUUCACAGUUUUGGAAAAGAAUGGCAAACAGAGGAUAAAGAGAUGAUGCUGCUACAUAUGAAGAUUUGCGAACAGGGAAUGUAAGGCUUGUCACAUAGAGGUUGAAUGAGUUCAUUCCAAGUCUUGUAUGAACAAAACAACAAGGCAAAGGUCACAAGUAUAAUGCCUUUGCAUCCACAAGGUUCUAGAGGUGUGUUUGGUGAGCUAAAAGGGUCUUUUGCUGGUUUCGGUUUUCUCCAUAAUGUAAAACUUUUACUUGUGAACCUACAAAUGUACUCAUGUGUGCAUGUAGACCUGAUGGAUGGUUGUGCUUUUGGUUGUCCUGUAACUGGACUUGUAUGCCCAUGUGUGCAUCCAGGCAUGCAUGAUCUUGUGCUGUUGGCUGACCUACGAUACUGGUCUUAUGAACCUAUGUAUGGAUGAUGGAGACUUGCAAAACUAUGGAUGGAUGAUGGAUUCCUUAUACACACACAUUAUCUCUU